rnacentral:rRNA from 1 species
UACGGAGGUGGCAGGCGUUACUCGGAUUGAUUGGGUGUAAAGGGUGUGUAGGUGGUGAUUUAAGUCGAAUGUGAAAGCCCUUGGCUUAACCAAGGAAAUGCAUUCGAUACUGAAUCGCUUGAGCGAUAGAGAGGAAAGCGGAAUUCCCGGUGUAACAGUGAAAUGUGUAGAUAUCGGGAGGAACACCAGUGGCGAAGGCGGCUUUCUGGCUAUCUGCUGACACUGAAACACGAGAGCUAGGGGAGCAAAC